GAGCUCAGAUUUUAAGACAGUAGCUUGCUGAUGCUCCCAGCUGAAUAAAGCCCUUCCUUCUACAACUUGGUGUCUGAGGGGUUUUGUCUGCAGCUCGUCCUGCUACAAUGGUGGUUCCUUUAUAGGAUAUUCAUGAUUCCCUACCUUGAAUCAAUGCCGCCAUCUUCCUUUUAACUCAGGGACUAAUGAGAUACACAGGUCUUCAAUGCCAGUCACCUCAUGGACUCACCACCUAGUUUAUCAAGGAGAAGUUGACGCUGGGAGCAGCUACAAAAAUGAAGCUACUCUGAUUUAGAUGGCACAGAAAAGCAGGCGAGGGUUUCUCCCUCCUGUCUCAUUUGAUCAUUUUUCAUGCUUUACCUGUGCUUCUAGGGGCCAAUCUAUCUUUUUUUUUUUUUUUUUUUCUGCCUUCUCUGCUUUAAAUGUUCCCAGUUCCGUCUGGAACUUGUCUUUGAACAAAGAAAGAUUUACUUCUUUCUUGAUUCUUUUAUUCCCCUCAUUUUUGUUUAUUCUCCUCCUGGCUCUUAGAGCUUUUCUCUUGACAUUG
rnacentral:lncRNA from 1 species